GCAAGAUAAAGGCAAACCCAGUCGAAAGAUGGGGACGCAAAGCCACGGGUCUAAAGCACAUGCUAUGACAGCCGGGUUGCCGUG
rnacentral:ncRNA from 1 species